rnacentral:rRNA from 1 species
UAGGGAAUCUUCCACAAUGGACGCAAGUCUGAUGGAGCAACGCCGCGUGAGUGAAGAAGGUUUUCGGACCGUAAAGCUCUGUUGUUGGUGAAGAAGGAUAGAGGUAGUAACUGGCCUUUAUUUGACGGUAAUCAACCAGAAAGUCACGGCUAACUACGUGCCAGCAGCCGCGGUAAUACGUAGGUGGCAAGCGUUGUCCGGAUUUAUUGGGCGUAAAGCGAGCGCAGGCGGAAGAAUAAGUCUGAUGUGAAAGCCCUCGGCUUAACCGAGGAAUUGCAUCGGAAACUGUUUUCUUGAGUGCAGAAGAGGAGAGUAGAACUCCAUGUGUAGCGGUGGAAUGCGUAGAUAUAUGGAAGAAUACCAGUGGCGAAGGCGGCUCUCUGGUCUGCAACUGACGCUGAGGCUCGAAAGCAUGGGUAGCGAACAGGAUUAGAUACCCUUGGUA